GGUGGCUCGGCGGUAGAGUGCUUGCCUUGCAUGCAUGAGGCCCUGGGUUCAAUUCCUCAGCACCA
rnacentral:tRNA from 1 species